UGUUGAUAAAAACCUUGCAGUGGUGUUUACAACUAAUUGAUCACAGCCAUUUACAGAUUUCUUUGUUUCUUCUCCACUCCUACUGCUCCACUUAACAGCCUUAA
ensembl:misc_RNA Y_RNA Y RNA